GACGAACGCUGGCGGCGUGCUUAACACAUGCAAGUCGAACGGAAAGGCCCUGCUUUUGUGGGGUGCUCGAGUGGCGAACGGGUGAGUAACACGUGAGUAACCUGCCCUUGACUUUGGGAUAACUUCAGGAAACUGGGGCUAAUACCGGAUAGGAGCUCCUGCUGCAUGGUGGGGGUUGGAAAGUUUCGGCGGUUGGGGCUGGACUCGCGGCUUAUCAGCUUGUUGGUGGGGUAGUGGCUUACCAAGGCUUUGACGGGUAGCCGGCCUGAGAGGGUGACCGGCCACAUGGGGACUGAGAUACGCCCCAGACUCCUACGGGAGGCAGCAGUGGGGAAUAUUGCACAGUGGGCGGAAGCCUGAUGCAGCAACGCCGCGUGCGGGAUGACGGCCUUCGGGUUGUAAACCGCUUUCGCCUGUGACGAAGCGUGAGUGACGGUAAUGGGUAAAGAAGCACCGGCUAACUACGUG
rnacentral:rRNA from 1 species